rnacentral:guide_RNA from 1 species
AACAAACGAUGAAAGAACAAUGAGACUAAGUGAUCGUAUAUAU